rnacentral:rRNA from 1 species
CCUACGGGUGGCUGCAGUCGAGAAUCUUCGGCAAUGGGCGCAAGCCUGACCGAGCGACGCCGCGUGCGGGAUGAAGGCCUUCGGGUUGUAAACCGCUGUCAGGGGGGAUCAAGCCCCGCCGGGCACACUCGGCGGGGAAGAGUGAUCCCCAGAGGAAGCUUGGGCUAAGUUCGUGCCAGCAGCCGCGGUAAGACGAACCAAGCAAACGUUGUUCGGAUUCACUGGGCUUAAAGGGCGCGUAGGCGGCUUGCCAAGUCGGUGGUGAAAUCUUUCGGCUCAACCGGAAAAUUGCCUUCGAUACUGGCGAGCUCGAAGAGGGUAGGGGUUACGGGAACUGCCAGUGGAGCGGUGAAAUGCGUUGAUAUUGGCAGGAACGCCGGUGGCGAAAGCGCGUAACUGGAUCCUCCUUGACGCUGAGGCGCGAAAGCCAGGGGAGCAAA